CUCUUUCAAAACAAAAUGUGCAUAUAUGCUUUUAUCUUUCAGCCGAAAUAAAAAGAGUGGAUGAAAAUGCAACAGCAUUUGUGUCCUGUCCAGCACUUGCAGAGCAUGAAAACCCAUCUAUCUCUCUAUACAAGGGAGAUACAAAGCUGCACUCAACAAACCUGAGUGAUGUGGACAGUAAUCAGUCAUGGCAGCGGUUUCAGGUGUACGUAGAAAACUCCUCCGUCUCAUUUAAGAUUCUAAGGGCUGAAGCCAGUGACACAGGACUCUACAAUUGCAAAAUCGACACACAAAUCAGGACAUCUGCAUCCCAGACUAUAUUGCUCAUUAAAGAUGCUCUGCAGCCCAUAGAAUCAACUGUCACUUGUCCCAUUGAUCAGACACUGCCACUUGCUGUUGGCUGUGGGGUCAUCAUUGCAUAUGAUCUGAUCAUCACUGUCUUCGUCUGUUACCUCAAAGUGAGUGUCCACAUCUGCAACCACAUGUUUACUCACACAAAAUAAAUUCAUAACCAAUUCGAAGUGUUUAUAUGUGGAAUCACACACAAUCGAGGUUUAUAUAUUGUUUCCUGUGCUAAAUUGCUGAUAUGGUGUUUUUAUUUCAGUAUAAACUCAAGAACACAGAGCCACCUGAGAAUCCCUACAUAAACACAAGACCAAAAGGAUUCCAACGACGCUGAUGAGCUCAGCAGCAUUUAUCCAGCAAAUAUCAGCAGCGUAGCAACAUUUGUACCUCCUAUCAGCUGAGCAGUAUACUGCCCAGAGAGUGUAUUAAACAAAUCUACUAAUUGUUCUUGUAUCUAUUGCUGUUCAGUAUAUAUGAUAGAUAUUGUAUAGUAUAUUUACACUGGGGGUCAAAGGUUUGGAAUCAUUAGGAUUUUUAAUGUUUUUGUUAGAAGUCUCUUAUGC
rnacentral:lncRNA from 1 species